GAUAUAUAUAAUAAUACUUUUUAAUAGUAGAUCUAUAAUCUAUCAAUUCUAUAUAGAUCUAGAUUUCACUUUCACAUCACACGAUUAUUGAUACAGACAGUGAAUGAAACGAAUGCAGUGAUUAUACUUAUAGAUCUACCAGUUGAUAAUCAUCUUCAUCAUAGUGUCAUCAUACUUCAUAGAUAAUAAUCUAGAUCUAUAAUCAUAGUGCCCUUUUUAGUCAAUAUAGUCAAGUCAAGAUAGUGGAACUUAAACUCGAAGGUUUAAUACAAUACAGUAUAAGUAGAGUCUAUAAGUUAGUAUAAGAUCUAAUUAUUUUAUUACUUUGUAUGUUUGUAACUUGUAUGUCAAUGUCUCAAUUAAAAUAUUUAAUAUCAUCAGCCAUAUCAUUUUAAAUAAAAAGUAGACAUAGAUUUCUAUAUUAUAAAUAGAUAGAUUAGAUCUAUAUAUAAAUUAUAAUUUUACAAACUUUAGAAAUGAUUGAUUUUAAUUGAUCAGCCUUCUAGACUAGAUCUAGCGUCUCUAGCUACAUGUAUGCUACUAGACUAUACCAUGUAGAUUGUAGAUCUUGGAAUUGGAUCGAAAUUCACCUUCCUAAAUUGUCUCUAAAGUCUGUAGCUGAUUUGAGAGGCCCGACGAGGCAAGAGUCUAUUAGUACUCUGUUUCUAAUCUACACUUAAUAUUUGAGAUAUUAUAUGACAUUUACAAAAAUUAUUAUUAAGAUAUAACUAUAGAAUCUAGACUAGUUAUAUAUGUACUUAAAAUAUAUAAAUAAAAUAUAAAAUUUAUGCAGGCCUAGAUCCCAUAAAUUUAUAAUUGAUCCAGAUCUAUUAUUAAAAGUUACCUUCGAUGGGAAGUUUUAUCCAAUCUAAUCUAUACAAGACAACUUAUAAUCCAUGCCUCGCCUACACCCCAUAUACAUUUAAUAAUAGUUUCCAUGCCAUGCCUAGACCCAAUUCAUUAGACAUAUGAGUUCAUGAAAUAAUAAAUGAUCUGGUGUCAAGUUGGAUCUAUCCUCUGAAAUUCAGUACUUUAAUAUAAAACUCACAUAUCUAGUUAUCUGCUAUGACACUCUGAUCAACUUGGACUUGUGUGAUACAUAUAUGUUUCUUAUCAGAUUUAAUGAAUGAAGUUUUGGUGCAUUUUAACCUGUAAUAAGGCUACAAAAGUAUCAUCAGGUGUGUUCUAACCAUUGGUAUUUUUCCUGACAACAUUUCUAUUCUAGUCUGUGUUAAAUUAUAAAUAAAAAAAAUGUUUGUAAUUGUUUCAGUUAUUAACAAGUAGAACCAUGGCAAUCAGUUCUGAUGAUGUACCAAAAUUGAUCAAGGAUCAUACUUAUACUAUUUCUACUCUCUGGGCAGACAUUAAUAAUAUUGGCAUCCAUUCAAUAUUUAAUUUAUGUUUGGAAAUGCAAAAAAAAGGCAUGCAUUCCUGAAAAGUCAAUGAUUGGUUGCACCUUUUAAAGAUAACUUUCUGUUAUGAGAAAAGAUGACAUACUUGGACUCCUGCAUAGCACCACCAGAAAGUAAAAUGGUUGUAGUGCUGGGUACAUGACACUCUCGCUAACCGUGGGGCACAGAAACUGAUAAACUUUAUAUCAUCUGCUCCAUAGAUUGCAAGAUAUGUAAGGGGAAUUUUACUUUUUUAAAAUUAAAAUAAGAAUCUAACAAAAGUAAACAUAUAAAAUAUGGUGCAUUCUCCUUAAAACUAAAAACUAAAACCUGGUGCGAAGGUUGAAAAUGUUGGCAAAAAAAAAGCAACAUCAAUUAAAUAUUCUUAAUUCCCUUUACUGAGAAAAACAUGCAUGUUGUUCCCUCAUAAGUUUCUUGACAGAGGAAAUCUUGUUUAUACUAGAUUUGAAUUAAGCAAAUAAAAAAAAAAUAUAAUCAUUAUUUCAAAUGCUUGUAUCUAAACCAUAUGAAUUAUUUUUCAGUUAUAACUAUAUUGAAAUGAAUGGAUAAUCAUGAAAUUGUUAAAUAAUUGCUGCUAUCAUUCCAUUGACUAAAGAAUCAUUUAAAAUUAUUUUUGUUUUAAUUAAUUUCAAAAUGAUUUUUUUUAUAAGCAUAGAGUUCACAUAAAUCUAAAAUGAAUUUUUUUUUAUUUGACUAAUGCUUCAAUUUUAUUGUAUAUUAGUUUUUAAUUUUUAUUACCCAGAAUAUUUUAAAAAUGAGUACACUAUUUUCAUGUAAUAAUGUAACUUGGUAUUCACACAUCAAAAUACGCUAUAAUCUUUAGGCCAUACAGAUUUGUAUAUAAAUUAACUUGUUUAAAUACAUUGUAAAUGUUUAUUGUUUAAAUAAGAAUAAAGUUUUUCUGUAGACAAUUAUUGUUUGAGAUUUGUUGAUGCUCCUGCUUAUUCAUUUAUAUAUACAGGUCAUUAGUUUUAACACGUCUGAUAAUAAAUGACAGUACAAGUUGGUGAAUGAAAAUUUGUCAUUAUUUCAGCUGCUUUAGGCCUACAUCAAUGUGAGGAAAACAAUGAGCCAAGAGCAGAUUUAAAGCAAUAAUGUGCAAUAAAAACUAAUCCAGCUACAUUUAGUAAGUUUUCACUGGAUAUGCAAAAAAAUGCAUGUGCAAAAAUAAUGGAAGACAAUUGCUUCCCAGAAAGUAGUUGCUUAUUAAUUGCAACUCUUCAAGAUAACUUGCUGUAAGAUGAAAAACUGAGAUUCCUGGAGUCCUGCUUAGUGCCAAUAAGUAGAUCACUACAAGUUGUGAAAGAAAAGUCAUGGACUAAUUUAAACUAGUUAUAUAUUCUAUAAAUGCUAUUAAUAUUUAUUCAUUUAUCCAGCCACAAGGUUUGGCUUUCAUUUUUUUGUCUAAACCUGUUUGAAAUUAUAGUAGACAACUAUUAUGCUGAGCCCACAAGAAUAAAACAGGUUGAAAAAAGUUUGGACAUAAAAUGCAAAGAUAAAGACAUUUUAAACUAUAUUUGGGGGUGCAUUCUUUUUAGAAUAAAAAGUCAAGUGGGCAGGGACAAUGAAAAUGAUAUCAAAAAACAUAUUAAAUUAAGUAUACUAAAUUCCUUUAUUCAAACUAAUUUAGAAGAAAGUGAAAGUUAAUCCCUCACAAGUGUUCUUAACAGAGGUAGCCUUAUUUAUAUUAGAUCUGAGUUAAGUACAUUUAAAAAUAAAAUCAAUUUUUCUAACUAUUUUCCCCAAACCUGUUGAAUCAUCUUUCAGUUUUGAUAAGUUUCUAAAAAUGUGUGUAGAUAAUAUAGAGAUUGUAAAAUGCUAUUUUGAUUCAUGCAAACAAUCACUGGCUGAACAUUCAGAAAAAAUGUUUAUUUUAAAACUAAUUUUAAAAGUUUUCUUCAAGAUUAGGGUUCACAGAAAGUGCAAAUUAUUUUUAGAUAAUUAUAGAAAUCAAAAACAAAUAUCAUACAAAGAAAAGGGUUUGAGGAAAAGGCUAAAGCAAGUGAACACAAAUAAACCAGGAUGAUCAAAUGUGUUUUUCAAUAUUUUUAUCCUGAUGCUAGAUGUAUAUUUUUGGACUAUUAAAUUCAUCACACUGAAUUAUUGUUCAUUUUUUAAAUUUUUAAUAUAUAGUGUCCCCCAUGGUGGACAAUGGAUUUGUCUGCAUCAAAUGUGGAAAAACAUAAAAGUUGCAAUUGGGCUUGCAAAAUGAUGUGAAACACAUCAGUCAUCCUUAAACUUUGAAUAAAAUACAUUGCCAUUAUUAUUG